GGGUUGUGAGGUUAAGCGACUAAGCGUACACGGUGGAUGCCCUGGCAGUCAGAGGCGAUGAAGGACGUGCUAAUCUGCGAUAAGCGUCGGUAAGGUGAUAUGAACCGUUAUAACCGGCGAUUUCCGAAUGGGGAAACCCAGUGUGAUUCGUCACACUAUCAUUAACUGAAUCCAUAGGUUAAUGAGGCGAACCGGGGGAACUGAAACAUCUAAGUACCCCGAGGAAAAGAAAUCAACCGAGAUUCCCCCAGUAGCGGCGAGCGAACGGGGAGCAGCCCAGAGCCUGAAUCAGUGUGUGUGUUAGUGGAAGCGUCUGGAAAGGCGCGCGAUACAGGGUGACAGCCCCGUACACAAAAAUGCACAUGCUGUGAGCUCGAUGAGUAGGGCGGGACACGUGGUAUCCUGUCUGAAUAUGGGGGGACCAUCCUCCAAGGCUAAAUACUCCUGACUGACCGAUAGUGAACCAGUACCGUGAGGGAAAGGCGAAAAGAACCCCGGCGAGGGGAGUGAAAAAGAACCUGAAACCGUGUACGUACAAGCAGUGGGAGCACAGAGCAAUCUGUGUGACUGCGUACCUUUUGUAUAAUGGGUCAGCGACUUAUAUUCUGUAGCAAGGUUAACCGAAUAGGGGAGCCGAAGGGAAACCGAGUCUUAACUGGGCGUUAAGUUGCAGGGUAUAGACCCGAAACCCGGUGAUCUAGCCAUGGGCAGGUUGAAGGUUGGGUAACACUAACUGGAGGACCGAACCGACUAAUGUUGAAAAAUUAGCGGAUGACUUGUGGCUGGGGGUGAAAGGCCAAUCAAACCGGGAGAUAGCUGGUUCUCCCCGAAAGCUAUUUAGGUAGCGCCUCGUGAAUUCAUCUCCGGGGGUAGAGCACUGUUUCGGCAAGGGGGUCAUCCCGACUUACCAACCCGAUGCAAACUGCGAAUACCGGAGAAUGUUAUCACGGGAGACACACGGCGGGUGCUAACGUCCGUCGUGAAGAGGGAAACAACCCAGACCGCCAGCUAAGGUCCCAAAGUCAUGGUUAAGUGGGAAACGAUGUGGGAAGGCCCAGACAGCCAGGAUGUUGGCUUAGAAGCAGCCAUCAUUUAAAGAAAGCGUAAUAGCUCACUGGUCGAGUCGGCCUGCGCGGAAGAUGUAACGGGGCUAAACCAUGCACCGAAGCUGCGGCAGCGACGCUGAUGCGUUGUUGGGUAGGGGAGCGUUCUGUAAGCCUGCGAAGGUGUGCUGUGAGGCAUGCUGGAGGUAUCAGAAGUGCGAAUGCUGACAUAAGUAACGAUAAAGCGGGUGAAAAGCCCGCUCGCCGGAAGACCAAGGGUUCCUGUCCAACGUUAAUCGGGGCAGGGUGAGUCGACCCCUAAGGCGAGGCCGAAAGGCGUAGUCGAUGGGAAACAGGUUAAUAUUCCUGUACUUGGUGUUACUGCGAAGGGGGGACGGAGAAGGCUAUGUUGGCCGGGCGACGGUUGUCCCGGUUUAAGCGUGUAGGCUGGUUUUCCAGGCAAAUCCGGAAAAUCAAGGCUGAGGCGUGAUGACGAGGCACUACGGUGCUGAAGCAACAAAUGCCCUGCUUCCAGGAAAAGCCUCUAAGCAUCAGGUAACAUCAAAUCGUACCCCAAACCGACACAGGUGGUCAGGUAGAGAAUACCAAGGCGCUUGAGAGAACUCGGGUGAAGGAACUAGGCAAAAUGGUGCCGUAACUUCGGGAGAAGGCACGCUGAUAUGUAGGUGAAGUCCCUCGCGGAUGGAGCUGAAAUCAGUCGAAGAUACCAGCUGGCUGCAACUGUUUAUUAAAAACACAGCACUGUGCAAACACGAAAGUGGACGUAUACGGUGUGACGCCUGCCCGGUGCCGGAAGGUUAAUUGAUGGGGUUAGCGCAAGCGAAGCUCUUGAUCGAAGCCCCGGUAAACGGCGGCCGUAACUAUAACGGUCCUAAGGUAGCGAAAUUCCUUGUCGGGUAAGUUCCGACCUGCACGAAUGGCGUAAUGAUGGCCAGGCUGUCUCCACCCGAGACUCAGUGAAAUUGAACUCGCUGUGAAGAUGCAGUGUACCCGCGGCAAGACGGAAAGACCCCGUGAACCUUUACUAUAGCUUGACACUGAACAUUGAGCCUUGAUGUGUAGGAUAGGUGGGAGGCUUUGAAGUGUGGACGCCAGUCUGCAUGGAGCCGACCUUGAAAUACCACCCUUUAAUGUUUGAUGUUCUAACGUGGACCCGUAAUCCGGGUUGCGGACAGUGUCUGGUGGGUAGUUUGACUGGGGCGGUCUCCUCCUAAAGAGUAACGGAGGAGCACGAAGGUUGGCUAAUCCUGGUCGGACAUCAGGAGGUUAGUGCAAUGGCAUAAGCCAGCUUGACUGCGAGCGUGACGGCGCGAGCAGGUGCGAAAGCAGGUCAUAGUGAUCCGGUGGUUCUGAAUGGAAGGGCCAUCGCUCAACGGAUAAAAGGUACUCCGGGGAUAACAGGCUGAUACCGCCCAAGAGUUCAUAUCGACGGCGGUGUUUGGCACCUCGAUGUCGGCUCAUCACAUCCUGGGGCUGAAGUAGGUCCCAAGGGUAUGGCUGUUCGCCAUUUAAAGUGGUACGCGAGCUGGGUUUAGAACGUCGUGAGACAGUUCGGUCCCUAUCUGCCGUGGGCGCUGGAGAAUUGAGGGGGGCUGCUCCUAGUACGAGAGGACCGGAGUGGACGCAUCACUGGUGUUCGGGUUGUCAUGCCAAUGGCACUGCCCGGUAGCUAAAUGCGGAAGAGAUAAGUGCUGAAAGCAUCUAAGCACGAAACUUGCCCCGAGAUGAGUUCUCCCUGACUCCUUGAGAGUCCUGAAGGAACGUUGAAGACGACGACGUUGAUAGGCCGGGUGUGUAAGCGCAGCGAUGCGUUGAGCUAACCGGUACUAAUGAACCGUGAGGCUUAACCUUACAACGCCGAAG
rnacentral:rRNA from 1 species